rnacentral:rRNA from 1 species
GUUGUAUAGUCAAGUAAUUAAGUGCAUGUGGUGGAUGCCUUGGCAGUCAGAGGCGAUGAAAGACGUGAUAGCCUGCGAAAAGCUCCGGGGAGGCGGCAAAUAUCCUUUGAUCCGGAGAUGUCUGAAUGGGGGAACCCACCUACUUUAAGGUAGGUAUUGCAACAUGAAUACAUAGUGUUGCAAGGCGAACGAGGGGAAGUGAAACAUCUCAGUACCCUUAGGAAAAGAAAUCAAUUGAGAUUCCCUCAGUAGCGGCGAGCGAACGGGGAUCAGCCCAUUAAGUUAUGUGUGUUUUAGUGGAACGCUCUGGGAAGUGCGAACGUAGAGGGUGAUAUUCCCGUACACGAAAGGGCACACAUAAUGAUGACGAGUAGGGCGAGGCACGUGAAACCUUGUCUGAAUAUGGGGGGGACCAUCCUCCAAGGCUAAAUACUCCUGACUGACCGAUAGUGAACCAGUACCGUGAGGGAAAGGCGAAAAGAACCCCUGUGAGGGGAGUGAAAUAGAUCCUGAAACCGCAUGCAUACAAGCAGUGGGAGCACCUUCGUGGUGUGACUGCGUACCUUUUGUAUAAUGGGUCAGCGACUUAUAUUCAGUAGCGAGGUUAACCGUAUAGGGGAGCCGUAGAGAAAUCGAGUCUUAAUAGGGCGUUUAGUUGCUGGGUAUAGACCCGAAACCAGGCGAUCUAUCCAUGAGCAGGUUGAAGGUUGGGUAACACUAACUGGAGGACCGAACCCACUGUCGUUGAAAAGCCAGGGGAUGACUUGUGGAUAGGGGUGAAAGGCUAAUCAAGCCUGGUGAUAGCUGGUUCUCCCCGAAAGCUAUUUAGGUAGCGCCUCGGACGAAUACCAUAGGGGGUAGAGCACUGUUUCGGCUAGGGGGUCAUCCCGACUUACCAAACCGAUGCAAACUCCGAAUACCUAUGAGUACUAUCCGGGAGACAGACUGCGGGUGCUAACGUCCGUAGUCAAGAGGAAAACAAUCCAGACCGCCAGCUAAGGCCCCAAAAUCAUAGUUAAGUGGGAAACGAUGUGGGAAGGCAUAGACAGCUAGGAGGUUGGCUUAGAAGCAGCCACCCUUUAAAGAAAGCGUAAUAGCUCACUAGUCGAGUCGGCCUGCGCGGAAGAUGUAACGGGGCUAAAACUAUGUGCCGAAGCUGCGGAUGUAUACUUUGUAUACGUGGUAGGGGAGCGUUCUGUAAGCCGAUGAAGGUGUGUUGAGAAGCAUGCUGGAGGUAUCAGAAGUGCGAAUGCUGACGUGAGUAACGACAAAACGGGUGAAAAACCCGUUCGCCGAAAGACCAAGGGUUCCAGUCCAACGUUAAUCGGGGCUGGGUGAGUCGACCCCUAAGGCGAGGCCGAAAGGCGUAGUCGAUGGGAAAAUGGUUAAUAUUCCAUUACUUCUGUGUAAUGCGAUGAGAGGACGGAGAAGGCUAAAUCAGCCUGGCGUUGGUUGUCCAGGUGAAAGGAUGUAGGCAUGUAUCUUAGGCAAAUCCGGGGUACUCUAUGCUGAGAUCUGAUAGCAAGCUGUACUUGUACAGCGAAGUGGUUGAUGCCAUGCUUCCAGGAAAAGUCUCUAAGCUUCAGUUACACAGGAAUCGUACCCGAAACCGACACAGGUGGUCAGGUCGAGUAGACCAAGGCGCUUGAGAGAACUCUGCUGAAGGAACUAGGCAAAAUGGUACCGUAACUUCGGGAGAAGGUACGCUGUUGUUGGUGAUGGAACUCGCUUCCUGAGCUGACGACAGCCGCAGAAACCAGGCCGCUGCAACUGUUUAUUAAAAACAUAGCACUCUGCAAACACGAAAGUGGACGUAUAGGGUGUGAUGCCUGCCCGGUGCUGGAAGGUUAAUUGAUGGGGUUAGCGUAAGCGAAGCUCUUGAUCGAAGCCCCAGUAAACGGCGGCCGUAACUAUAACGGUCCUAAGGUAGCGAAAUUCCUUGUCGGGUAAGUUCCGACCUGCACGAAUGGCAUAAUGAUGGCGGCGCUGUCUCCAGCAGAGGCUCAGUGAAAUCGAAAUCGCUGUGAAGAUGCAGUGUACCCGCGGCUAGACGGAAAGACCCCGUGAACCUUUACUGCAGCUUGACACUGAACUUUGACCUUACUUGUGUAGGAUAGGUGGGAGGCUUUGAAGCUGGAACGCUAGUUCCAGUGGAGCCGUCCUUGAAAUACCACCCUGGUAAUGUUGAGGUUCUAACUCUGUCCCGUGAUCCGGGACGAGGACCGUGUCUGGUGGGUAGUUUGACUGGGGCGGUCUCCUCCUAAAGAGUAACGGAGGAGUACGAAGGUGCGCUCAGCGUGGUCGGAAAUCACGCGUAGAGUAUAAAGGCAAAAGCGCGCUUAACUGCGAGACCCACAAGUCGAGCAGGUACGAAAGUAGGUCUUAGUGAUCCGGUGGUUCUGUAUGGAAGGGCCAUCGCUCAACGGAUAAAAGGUACUCUGGGGAUAACAGGCUGAUACCGCCCAAGAGUUCAUAUCGACGGCGGUGUUUGGCACCUCGAUGUCGGCUCAUCUCAUCCUGGGGCUGAAGCAGGUCCCAAGGGUAUGGCUGUUCGCCAUUUAAAGAGGUACGCGAGCUGGGUUUAGAACGUCGUGAGACAGUUCGGUCCCUAUCUACCGUGGGCGCUGGAAAUUUGAGAGGAUCUGCUCCUAGUACGAGAGGACCAGAGUGGACGAACCUCUGGUGUACCGGUUGUGACGCCAGUCGCAUCGCCGGGUAGCUAUGUUCGGAAGGGAUAACCGCUGAAAGCAUCUAAGCGGGAAGCCUACCUCAAGAUAAGAUUUCCCUAGGACUUUAUGUCCUCUAAAGAGCCGUUCGAGACUAGGACGUUGAUAGGUUGGAUGUGGAAGCAUAGUGAUAUGUGAAGCUGACCAAUACUAAUUGCUCGUGAGGCUUGACUAUACAACACCCAAGCAGUUG